UAUGUUAACCGUGUUCUAACCAGAGUACAUAAAUUGCGAGGAAACCCGAAUGCAUAAAUUCUAUUCGAGCCGUACUUUGUCAAUUGUUUUUUAAUUAUAAUUUAUGCUGAAAAUGACACUAUAAAUUUAUUGCGUCUUAUCAGUUUUCUAACAUUAUGAUCUGCAUCAAGGGUUUUUCGUUAUUCCUUUGCUUAUCACAGAUUUAUCAUGUCGACCAAUAAAUUCAAUACUAGACACAGUGACCAAGGGAGAGUGAUCGGUUGAGUGCCUGAGACAGAAGAGAUGGCAUUGUAACUACACAUGAAUAGAUUUCUUAGCAUUCAUAUAACCAGUGGCGUGGUAUGUUUAUACCAUAUGAUAUUGAACAAAUGAUGCAUAUGCCGGGGACGCAGAUUAUACGGUUGUAAAAAGCAUAAAGAAUUACAGAGUCCGCUGAUCAAGAGUACACAGUCGUGGCCAUAAAUACUGAUGGAUACUGUUCAAAUAAGGGUACCUGCAAGACACAUAAGCAAUGUAAAAUUGACCUUACUGUAAAAUUGAUGUAGAUCUUCUGACUUAUUAACAAAGCAAUAAUAUUUAAUUUCCAGA